GCAUUUUGUCUGGACCCUGCUUAUUUUGAGAUAAGCAGUGCUUUUCUCAAACAAGGCCUGACUGUACUCUACAUCUAUUAAAAGCACCCUCUAGUUUAAAAACAAAAAGGGUUUUCUGGAAUCACGUAGUCCUCUGAAAUGUCUCAGAACUAUUCAAAUGCUGGCAGCCAGCAUAAAGCCUUUGCCUGAUCCUAAUCUCCAGAAUGCAACAGGCAUCAUUGCCUGGCUAUUUUCAGCCGAUUCUGUGUACUGCACAUCUAAAACUAGAACAAAACUCUCACUGCUCUGCUCUGCUUUCCAGCCCAACUGCUGAACUGCCCUGUCCUCUUUUUUUUUUUUUUCCCCUCUUUAGACAUUUAGAACGAAAUCAGGCACUUCAACCCAAUGUGGGGUUUUUUUAAGGUUGCAGUGCUCUUUGGGCUGGAGGAGUGUGACAUUUCUGUUGGCAGGCAUUUAAUUCCUAUACUUCCUGAUCUUUGAAUCAAAUGAGCAGCUGCUUCAACAAGAUGAUGGAAACUGCCUGAAGUCCUCAGACAAUGGAAAGUUUCAAGAUUUUAUGAACAAAAUUUGUAGGGCAGAUGGGAUGCAAACUCCAUUUUAUACACAGUCAUCAUUUAGUCAGAUGUGAAGGUCCACCUACUCAAUUCCUGACUUUAUUAAAGCACUUGGACAAGGUAAGACAUUAAUCAGGGCCUUCAUAUAAAUAUGGCUCUUUCCUGGCUUUGUUGGAGUUAAUGUCCAUCCUGAAUUUGUUGAAGUAGUUGCUGUUAUGAAGAGAUUUGGUCUUGUACUUGAGCUGAAGCUGGACAAGCUCCAGUGAGUGGCACUGCAUGUGGCCAAACCCACGGUGAUAGGCAUCAUGGAGUUGCUUGGAGGACUGAGUGAGCAGAAAGAGGAGAUGACUUCAGGACUCCAGUUCUUUGAUCCAGAAUUUGUUAUGGUACUAAUUUGACUUCAAAUCACAAUCCUGUUUUGUUGUCUGGGUGGAUAUAAUUUUUACCCUACUGAAAAUAGGGGUUGCCAUAACUAUGACAAGGAUUUGAAGUUGGAGGCCUGAGUUCUGAUUUGUUUCUGACUGACAAAUGAGACAAUCAGUGAAUGAUUUUUUAGCUAAGAGUUGCUAAAACUCAGUAUGCCUUGUUUUCAGCAACUCCAGAAUCCUUUGCAGCCAAAACUGCUGUUGUCAGACUUCAAGGACUGAAUCCAAGAGAUUUGGUUUUCAAAUUCUUCCCAACUGGAAGCUGGUUUUUUCUUUCAAAAAAAAAAAAAACUCACAUAGGAAUGGAGGGUCUCAUUUAUCCCCCACACCAUUAAGUUCCCCAUACUCUACACCACAUUUUUGCUACUUUGGGAGAGUCACUCUCACCAGGUGGAUUACUAACAAGGUUGGUAUAUGAGCUAAUAAACUGCUCUGUGUUCUGUAGUCACAGCUGGGCUGCUCCCAUACCUGACCCUCACAGAGCUCUUGCAGUGUGUCUAGACAUGUCUUUGGCACUGUGUUGGUUGCUUACAUGCAAUGGGAGCUCUGCAUUCUCUUCCCUUGUGCUUGCAACAUCUUCAGCUUUUCCUCCUUCCCAGCUUCUCUGAUUGCAUUCAUACGAGGACAAAAUUCUGUCAUUUCAUCCUGCAUGCUUUCUCAGUAUUGGCUGCCAGAUAAAUAGCGUGUGCUUCCUCUUCAUUUGUUGCCUUAGACACUGAUUUUGCCUGCUUUAAAUGACUUUCAGGUUUGGCAAGGCUAAUAUUAUAGUGCAGUUGUGUUCUUUCACCAAGUUCUUCCUCUUAGCUUGACUGCUUUUCUGUUCCAGGGGAGAGCAAUAACCAAUUUUCCUUUCUUGCUUUCACUGCCCAGCUUGACGCUAAUCUGCCGGCAUUUCUUUCUCUGAUCGCUUAUUGUCUGCCCAGCCUCAGUCUUGCUUCCUUUAUUCUGACAGCUGCUCCAGACUCGCCUUCUUUUAUGUCCUUCACAUAUUUGUGUGUGUGUCA